AAAUUAGAGAUGAUUAUAAAAUUAAUUCGUUGUUUUGACUUGCUCAAUUUGAGCAUGACAGACCUCUUAUUAUAUUCAUAGAAUCUGAGCUGC
rnacentral:snoRNA from 1 species